rnacentral:rRNA from 1 species
AGACCCGAAACCCGGUGAUCUAGCCAUGGGCAGGUUGAAGGUUGGGUAACACUAACUGGAGGACCGAACCGACUAAUGUUGAAAAAUUAGCGGAUGACCUGUGGCUGGGGGUGAAAGGCCAAUCAAACCGGGAGAUAGCUGGUUCUCCCCGAAAGCUAUUUAGGUAGCGCCUCGUGAAUUCAUCUCCGGGGGUAGAGCACUGUUUCGGCUAGGGGGCCAUCCCGGCUUACCAACCCGAUGCAAACUGCGAAUACCGGAGAAUGUUAUCACGGGAGACACACGGCGGGUGCUAACGUCCGUCGUGAAGAGGGAAACAACCCAGACCGCCAGCUAAGGUCCCAAAGUCAUGGUUAAGUGGGAAACGAUGUGGGAAGGCCCAGACAGCCAGGAUGUUGGCUUAGAAGCAGCCAUCAUUUAAAGAAAGCGUAAUAGCUCACUGGUCGAGUCGGCCUGCGCGGAAGAUGUAACGGGGCUAAACCAUGCACCGAAGCUGCGGCAGCGAACGUAUCACCCAAGACAACUUUACGGAGUUGACGAUUGACGGAGCGAAGCGACGUCAAAGCGUUCAUUAAAGUCGAGUUGGCUUAGGGAUACGUUCGUUGGGUAGGGGAGCGUUCUGUAAGCCUGUGAAGGUGUGUCGUGAGGCAUGCUGGAGGUAUCAGAAGUGCGAAUGCUGACAUAAGU